UACAGAGGGUGCAAGCGUUAAUCGGAAUUACUGGGCGUAAAGCGUGCGUAGUCGGUUAUCUAAGUCGGGUGUGAAAUCCCCGGGCUCAACCUGGGAAUUGCAUUCGAUACUGGAUAGCUAGAGUUCGGCAGAGGGAAGCGGAAUUUCCGGUGUAGCGGUGAAAUGCGUAGAUAUCGGAAGGAACAUCAGUGGCGAAAGCGGCUUCCUGGACCAGAACUGACGAUCAGGCACGAAAGCGUGGGGAGCAAAC
rnacentral:rRNA from 1 species